UAAAAAAAUAGUAAGAGCAUAUGGUGAAUGCCUUGGAAAAUGGAGCCGAAGAAGGACGUGACUACCUGCGAUAAGUCUGGGGGAGCUGGAAGUGAGCUUCGAUCCCGGAAUUUCCGAAUGGGGAAACCUGACAUGAUUUAUCUCAUGUUAUCUAUAAGUAAAUACAUAGCUUAUAAGAAGGGAACCUAGGGAACUGAAACAUCUUAGUACCUAGAGGAAAAGAAAAUAAUAAUGAUUCUGUUAGUAGCGGCGAGCGAAAACGGAACAGGCCAAACCACUUUACGGAGUGGGGUUGUAGGACUUUUGUUCGAGUUAGAAAGUCAUUAUAUAAUAGAAGCUACUGGGAAGUAGCGCCAUAGAGGGUGAUAGCCCCGUAUAUGAAAUGUAAUGACCUCAAAAAAGUAUCCUGAGUACGGCGAAACACGUGAAAUUUUGUCGGAAUCUGCCAAGACCACUUGGUAAGCCUAAAUACUACCAUUUUACCGAUAGUGAACCAGUACCGUGAGGGAAAGGUGAAAAGCACCCCGAAAGGGGAGUGAAAUAGUCCCUGAAACCAUAUGCUUACAAGAAGGUAGAGCCCGUUAAUGGGUAAUACCGUGCUUUUUGUAGAAAGAGCCGGCGAGUUACUAUUGCAUGCAAGGUUAAGUUGAUAUAAACGGAGCCGAAGUGAAAGCGAGCCUUAAUAGGGCGUUUAGUAUGCAGUAGUAGACACGAAACCAGGUGAUCUAGCCAUGAGCAGGUUGAAGUUAGGGUAAAACCUAAUGGAGGACCGAACCAGUAUUCGUUGAAAAGACUUUGGAUGACUUGUGGCUAGCGGUGAAAUUCCAAUCGAACCUGGAGAUAGCUAGUUCUCCCCGAUAUAUCUUUAAGGAUAGCGUUGUGUGAAUUGUUGUGGAGGUAGAGCACUGAAUCUAUGAUGGCUGCACCUAGCGGUACUGAUUAGAAUUAAACUCCGAAUGCCAUAAUUUGUGCACAGCAGUCAGAACAUGGGUGAUAAGGUUCAUGCUCGUGAGGGAAACAGCCCAGAUCGUCAGCUAAGGUCCCUAAGUGUAAACUAAGUGUGUAAGGAUGUGGAACUGCACAGACAGCUAGGAUGUUGGCUUAGAAGCAGCCAUCAUUUAAAGAGUGCGUAACAGCUCACUAGUCGAGUGAUUCUGCGCCGAAAAUGUACCGGGGCUUAAGUUUACCACCGAAGCUACGGAUUGUAUGUAAAUACAGUGGUAGGGGAGCGUUCUAAAUAUGAUGAAGUCAGACUGUGAAGACUGGUGGAGUGUUUAGAAGUGAUUAUGCCGGCAUGAGUAACGUUUGGAAGUGAGAAUCUUCCAUGCCGUUUGACCAAGGUUUCCUGGGCAAGGUUCGUCCACCCAGGGUUAGUCAGGAUCUAAGGCGAGGCUGAAAAGCGUAGUCGAUGGACAACAGGUUGAUAUUCCUGUACCAGUUAAUUAGUGAUGGAGUGACGAAGAAGGAUAGUAUAUCCCGGGUGCUGGAUGUCCCGGGCUAAGCACAAA
rnacentral:rRNA from 1 species